UUUUAAAAAAAAAAAAAAAAAAAAAAAAAAUCCUUAACAUUUUUUAUGGCUUUAGCAGGAAGCUUUGUGCAUAAGACCUCGUUCCCACUCCCAGUGGCCACUUCAAGGCUCAUAUGCUAUCCACGUAAAACUGUGAUCAUAAGAUGUGCUGGCCCUCCUAAGCAACCAAAAAUCAGUUCUGGUAGCGGUCCACAGAUCAACGUUGGACCCAAAACCUUGAAAAAAUCUCAAAGAGAAAAAGAGAUUAGUCUUGUAAAAGAAACUAAGAAGAGUAAAGGAAAAGUAGAUGAUGACACUGCAAUGGAAACCGAGACCUCUAAAUAAGGGUUACGUCUGGCAAUUUUUAGCAUUGGUUCUUCUAGAGUGAUAAAACUACGAGUAGCAACCCGGCCUGCUGGGGUGAGAGAAGCCUAAUUAACUGUUAUUAAAAGAAAAUAAAAAUUAGUAUUUCUCUCUGCCCUCAACUGUCAAGAAGUGUACCGUUUGUUUUUAUGUUGGUAGCUAGAGUUAGUGUUUGAUUUCCUGUUGUUAGAGACAGACUAAGGUCAGUGUUUCAUGUUGGAUGUUAUGUAUAUUUGUAUGUUUUAAGUCAAGUAUUGCUUAUUACUUCAUAAAUGUAUGUCUGGAUUUGAACGCAAGUUGUUUGUAGUUGUAAUGAUAGAAAAAUUAGAAUAUGGUUUGCAUUUAGUUACUGCUAAAAAUAUUUGUAGCCUUAAUAUGCAUGCUUAAUGUGGAAUUUGUUCUCUUUUUUCA